AAGAGACAUCACGGGAAGAAGAUUGCUGUUCUUUUGAUAGAUGGGAGAAGUUAUGUUUUUAGGCUCCUCUCUGCUGAUAUUGUUUCAGAAAAACCCGGGCCUAGUGCAUGCAAACUGGCCAUGAGAAGAUAGAAGUUCCUGGGAGAACAAAGCAAGAAGUGAAUUCAUUCAAGAUUGCACAAAAUGCCAUGAGGGACUAAUGGACAGAAAUGUGAUCUUUCAUGGCAGUGGAAGACCCAUCACGAAGGCCCUCAUCAGAUGCUGGCCACUCAAUCAUAAACUUCUUCACCUCCAGA